UCCCCACAUUUACAGUAGAACCACACGAGAGUGCUUCCUAUGUACUCAUUUGAUUGAAUCCUGUUCUUGAUAAUUUGUGCAUGAACUUCUUGCCCUGUUAGCAAGGCCCUGAUUGAGCCACAAGCCUUGAGAAUGCUCACAACGGUUAAGUUAUUAGAAAUUACCCUCCGUUGUUUCAUCACUUGAAAGAGACUUAUGGCCUCCUCACCAAGCCCCUUC
rnacentral:misc_RNA from 1 species